AAAUCUAUCUAUAGUCCUUGUUUCUGGAGGUUGUUGCCAUGGUGAGAUUUGAUUUCAUGUAUGUUCUUUUGUGAUCUAUUAACCUAGCCAUCAUCAUGGAUUUUAUUAUUUUUGAGUCAGAGUCGCACUCUGUUGCUCAGGCUGGAGUGCAGUGGUGUAAUCUUGGCUCGUUGGAACCUCCGCCUCCCAGGUUCAGGUGAUUCUUGUGCCUUAGCCUCCGGAGUAGCUGGGAUUACAGGCACGCACCACCAUGCUUGGCUACUUUUGUAAUUUUAGUAGCGACGGGGUUUCGCCAUGUUGGCCAGGCUGGUUUUGAACUCUGGCCUCAAGUGAUCUACCUGUCUCAGCCUCCCAAAGUGCUAGGAUUAUAGGAGUGAGCCACUGUGCCUGGCCUGGUUUUAUUAUUACUAUUUUUAAUAUUUGUUUCUUCAUAUGAUAGAGACAGUGUCUUGUUAUGUUGCCCAGGCUGGUCUUCAACUCCUGGGCUCGAGAUCCUCCUGCCUCAACCCCCCAAAGUGUUGGUAUUAUAGGCGGGAGCUACUGUGCUUGGCCCAGUUUUAUUAUUUUAAAAUAGUAAGUUAGCCAUUAUACUUAAGAUGUGAAAAUUCCAAAUAUAGUGUUAAAAAAGUACAUAGAAGACUGAUUUUUCCCUUUCUGAAACUGUAGAGAAGCAGUUUUCUAGGCCAUGAAAAAAGGGCAAGAGCCUUAUUAAAUAUAUAAUUUGAAGCAUUUUAAAAUAUAGAUUUGAUUGGAAAUAGAAACUUGGCCAAGCUGUUACUACUCCAUCUUAUAGGCAGAAUAAUAAUGUGAUUUCUCAAAAUAAAAAUAGAAAAGCAAAAACUGGGUCUUGCUGCUAGAAAACCAGCUUCGAGAUUGGCUUCAGGUUUUCAAAAUCCUGAUAAAUUCAAUAAUGAUGUCCAUGAAGUAUUCAUUUGUUGAAUAAAUUAAUUUGAGCAAAAAUUAUAUUUUAGUUAUAUUUACAUUUUUAAAAUAAAAUAGAAAAAUCCCUUAUUACCCUGCUUCUCCAAAUAGCUUUGUUAAUUUGUGCAUAUUUACUUUAAGUUUUUUGUAGUUGCAGUCACUAAUAUCCAGACUACUUUGAAUUCUGGUUUGGAAAAAGCUCAGUAUUGUAAACCUUUCCUCAUGUUUUUGCAGGGCCUCUACUUUUGUUGACUGUAAGUUUUCAACAGUCAUGCUGAUGUCCUAAUGACCUGCUUGUUUUUGGUGGAUUUACUUAGUGGGAGCAGGAGCUGAGGUUAUGCGUGUUUAGUCCUCCAGCCUUGAAAUUCUUAUGGCCUUUCAGGGACUCAGUACUGAUGUGACUGAAUUGGACUUGAAGAGUAGAUUUCCUUUGUGUGAAUUAGGUGGAACUGUUUAUGCAUGUCUGGGUUGCUAAAGGGAAAGGAAGUGAGUUGAGAAGGGAAGGGAGACAUACUUUUGUCCAAAUUUAUGCCCUAACAGUCUGAUUUUUUUUUUUAAAUAUAGAAAUACUUGUUAAAUAUCUUCCAUCAACAGAUAAACAGAUGGACAAAAAGAUUUCUAUUUUAAAGGAUCAUGGCUAUAUAGAAAAUUUGACAUUUGGAUGGGAUGGACCAUCUUGGAGGCUACUCACAGCCCUUAAGUUGUUAUGUCUGGAAGCUGAGAAAUUUACAUGCUGGAAAAAAGUACUUCUUGGGGAGGUAAUUUCAGAUACGAAUGAGAAGACAAGUUUGGACAUAGCCCAGAAAAUAUGCUAUUAUUUCAUAGAAGAGACUAAUGCUGUGCUUCAAAAGGUGUCUCAUAUGAAGGAUGAAAAAGAGGCCCUGAUAAACCAACUAACGUUGGUGGAAUCCUUGUGGACGGAAGAGCUAAAGAUUCUCAGGGCAUCUGCCGAGACCCUGCACAGUUUGCAAACAGCUUUUACCUGAUUUCACCGAAGCGCAUUUGGUCACCUCCUCUGAAACAAAAGUUAAUUUUGAAGAGCAUCAUCAUGGGCUGGGGUGGUGGCUGCCCCCAGGACAUGCAGGAUUUCUGCAGGGGGCAGCACAGGUUCUGGGAUUGUGAGGCUGUGAGUGAAGGUGGACAAGCUGUCUGGAUGGCAGGUCUAAUGCUCUUCCGAAUAAAGUGCUGAACUGUGAGGAGAGAGGCGGACUGUGAGGCAGCCAGGAGCCAGCUGCGUCCGUGUGUGGUCUGUCACCACGGGGCCUGCUUCUUAUCUGACACAGCAGCUAUCAGAGUCUAGUGGUUGUGCUUUUAAGAUGCUCUGAUACCAUUGGGUUAAGGGGCAGAUUGGCGGUGGGUGUGGGGCAGUGUGAGGUAGUCCUGGGUCCCCGCCAGGGUGGCCCAGACGCCAGCCCUUCCCUGUGUGGCUGCACUGAGGUGGGUGUUGAAGAGCCCCCUAGGGGACAUACAGCUUCCAGGAGGAGGGAAUGUCCUCUAAGCAUGCUCCUGGCCUCUCAAGGUGGCGCUUGCCUAAUUAUUCACUUGGGAAGAAUGACUAGCUCAGCCAGCGGCUCUUUCUGCUUUGUUCUGGCGACUUUCCUGGGCAGGCCUUUCCACCUGGGGAGCUGGCUCAUCCUGCACAGCUGGGCCGUGGUGGGCCUGUCUGCUUGAUUCUGGGGUUCAGUGUAGGUCAGCUGAUGGCAAACCAUGGUGGUGGUUUGGCUUCUGUUUUUUUUCUUGAGUUUUGAUACCGUGCAGACCUUGGGUGGGGAGAGCUUCCUGCACAGCUCUCAGCGGCCUGUGGCCUUGGAACUGCCUGCGUAAGUAACGGAGGGGCUGCUGGUCCUGUUCAGGCCCGUGCUGGGGACGCCGCUUAGACAAUGUUGCCCAGAGUCCUGUUUACCCUCCCAGGGUUCAUUCUUCCCAAGAACUCAAAUUCCUUUCUCAUUGGAGCCUAGUGAAACCAAAUGAACGGGACCUGCUGGCCUCAGGAGGCAGGCAGAGUUUAAAAUAAAACUUUCUCAUGAUUUCUUGAACAUCUUUCCCUGUUUGUAUAUACACUUUGUGUUUAUUUUUCAAUAGCUGCAGUAUAUUUUUUUUCAAUAUUCAGUAUAAUGCAGUGUAUUUCAUCAUAUGCUGUAUGGAGAGUGGGCAGACUUCUGUGGAGGGCCCGAUAGUAACCAUUUGAAGCUUUCUGGACCUGUGGUCUUAGUCCCAGCGAUUCUGCAGAGCGGCCAUCGGCAGCAUGUCAACCAUUUGCAUGGCUGGGCUCCAGGGAAACUACUGACAAUGACAGAUGGUGGGCCAUAGUUUCCUGACCCCUGUGCUAUGCCAGAAUUUCUUUUUCCUCUUCCCUAUGAGUGGACCUAAAUAUGUUAAUUCCUUUUCACCUUUCAAAACGGACAGCCCCUUGAACAUUAAAAACUUUGCAGACCCU
rnacentral:sRNA from 1 species